GUGGUGAGGUUGUCCUGUCCAUCAUCUUAUUGUAGGGUCCUCAUGCAUCUGAAGUGUCUGUCUCCUCACGUUGUUCCUUCUGCAGCCUAAGGAACCUCAAUUUUUUGAAAAUUACUUCUCCUAUAAUAAAAUUUACAAAACUAAGACAACUAAUACAACCAGUACAAAUGCCAAAACAUCCAAAAAAAUACAGCAUGACAAAAAAAAAAACUAAAACCUAGGAUUAAAAACAGCAGUGUAUGACUAAAGUGAAGAACAAUUAUUCCUUUAAAAGGCAAAGAGGAGAAGUAUUUUAGUGUAGAAAGAAUUAAAAAGCAUUAAAAUAGUUUUGAAAAAUGAUCCCUGCAGAAGAAGGUGCGUCUCUGUCCUCACUCUGGGUUCAAAUGACUGAUAGGUGUCCAAACUCAACAGUUAACAGGCUAAGGGGACAUUUUAAAGCUAAACAUCAGGUGUUGUUAUUUUUUGAAAUGGAGAUGUUUGUGAAAAUGUGUGAAAACUUCAAAGUGUUAUAACUCAGUGUUUCAUGAGCCAAAAUCAUGUCCAGUCAAUAAAGGCAACACAAUUUUCUCACAAAUCACCACAAAAGGCCACAAAUCGAUCAGGUUAUGAAUCAUAUGGAGAAAGGCAAAGCAGCGUUAACAAAACAAAACAAAACAAAACAAAACAACAACAUUAAGCUACACUUAACCCAGUCAGUUGUGGUGAGGGUGACCUGUCCAUCAUCUUAUUGGAGCAUCCUCAUGUAUCUUAGGACCCUCAUUCUUUAAAAACAAACACUUUUCCAAAAAGAAUAUUUACAAAACUAAGACAACUAAAACAACCAGUACAAAUGUAAAAACAUCCAAACAAAUACAGCAUGACAAAAAAAAUGUUGACAUUUAAAUUAAAUAAAAACCCAAAGCUAAAAUUAAAAACAGCAGUGUAUGACUAAAGUGAAGAACAAUUAUUCCUUUAAAAGGCAAAGAGUAAAACAAAGUGAUACUUGACCCAGUCAGUGGUGGUGAGGUUGUCCUGUCCAUCAUCUAAUUGUAGGAUCCUCAUGCAUCUGAAGUGUCUGUCUCCCCAUGUUGUUCCUUCUGCAGCCUUAGGACCCUCAAUUUUUUUAAACAAAUGCUUUUUCUUAAAAAAAAGUUUACAAAACCAAGACAACUAAAACAUCCAAACAAAUGUAAAAACAUCCAAACAAAUACAGCAUGACAAAAAAAUAGUAUAAUAGUUUUGAAGAAUGAUCCCUGCAGAAGAAGGUGCGUCUCUGUCCUCACUCUGGGUUCAAAUGACUGAUAGGUGUCCAAACUCAACAGUUAACAGGCUAAGGGGACAUUUUAAAGCUAAACAUCAGGUGUUGUUAUUUUUUGAAAUGGAGAUGUUUGUGAAAAUGUGUGAAAACUUCAAAUUGUUAUAACUCAGUGUUUCAUGAGCCAAAAUCAUGUCCAGUCAAUAAAGGCAACACAAUUUUCUCACAAAUCACCACAAAAGGCCACAAAUCGAUCAGGUUAUGAAUCAUAUGGAGAAAGGCAAAGCAGCGUUAACAUAACAAAACAAAACAACAACAUUAAGCUACACUUAACCCAGUCAGUGGUGGUGAAGGUGACCUGUCCAUCAUCUUAUUGGAGCGUCCUCAUGUAUCUUAGGACCCUCAUUCUUUAAAAACAAACACUUUUCCAAAAAGAAAAUUUACAAAACUAAGACAACUAAAACAACCAGUACAAAUGUAAAAACAUCCAAACAAAUACAGCAUGACAAAAAAAAUGUUGACAUUUAAAUUAAAUAAAAACCCAAAGCUAAAAUUAAAAACAGCAGUGUAUGACUAAAGUGAAGAACAAUUAUUCCUUUAAAAGGCAAAGAGUAAAACAAAGUGAUACUUGACCCAGUCAGUGGUGGUGAGGUUGUCCUGUCCAUCAUCUAAUUGUAGGAUCCUCAUGCAUCUGAAGUGUCUGUCUCCUCAUGUUGUUCCUUCUGCAGCCUUAGGACCCUCAAUUUUUUUAAACAAAUACUUUUUCUUAAAAAAAAGUUUACAAAACUAAGACAACUAAAACAAACAGUACAAAUAUAAAAACAUCUAAACAAAUACAACAUGACAAAGAAAUAGUAUAAUAGUUUUGAAAAAUGAUCCCUGCAGAAGAAGGUGCAUCUCUGUCCUCACUCUGGGUUCAAAUGACUGAUCAGUGUCCAAACUCAACAGUUAACAGGCUAAGGGAACACAUCACCUUAGACUCACUGACAUCAUCACUGACAUCAUCAUUACCAUGGAGAUGUUUGUUUUCUUUUAAAUUAAAAAAUGUGUGAAAACUUCAAAUUGUUAUAACUCAGUGUUUCAUGAGCCAAAAUCAUGCCC